GCUCCGGUAGCUCAGUUGGUAGAGCAGCGGCCUUUUAAGCCGUAGGUCGUGGGUUCGAGUCCCACCCGGGGCA
rnacentral:tRNA from 1 species